AAAAGGUAGUUUAAUAAAAAAUUCCGGUUUUGGGGACCGGGGAUGAAGGCUUGGAUCCUUCUUUUUUGAU
rnacentral:tRNA from 1 species